rnacentral:lncRNA from 1 species
AAGAACAGUUUACUCUGUUCAGUGAGUUCUAUUUUCUUGUUGUCGGUGGAAUAAUUUGGAUUAUGGUGAAGAAGAUAGCAAUGCUUGUGGGCACACUCAGUUUGGUAGAGUGUAUGAGAAAGGUGGGAAAUUUUUGAUCUCAUAUUUGAUCUUUAAACUCUGUUAAAGAAGUAGAUGAGGGAUUAUUUAGUCCUCCUCUUCUUCAGCUUUGAUCAAUUGUUUGACGUUUGUAUUUGCAAUUUGUGAUAUGUAGGGCAUUACCCUGAAUGGUAUGAGCAUCAGUUUCGUCGGAUGUGAAUUGAAAGUCCGUAUAAUUUUCUAACUUUGUGAUUGAUUUCCCACUGUCAAAAACAGGAAAAGAAUUACAGCAUUGGUGAAGUGCAGAGCAUGUUUUGGGAGAUGGCCAAGUGGGAUAACUCGAACGAUUUGCAGUGGCUUCGUGGACAGUCAAGCGAUGUGGGCAGCUAGCACGAUGGAGAUGAAUGGGGUUCAAUUCGCGGCCAGAUUGAUCCUUUUCCUUAUUAAAUAAAUCUAUGAUCAUCUAUCUCACUCUCAAUGUUCUUGCACAAACUCUAUACCAUUUCACUCUCUCAGAGGCGGCCACCUUGGUUUUUUCUCUUUAUUUUAAUCACAAUUAAUAUUGCUCAUUUAUGGUUUAGCUGUUUGGGUGAUUUUAUUAAUAUUCAAGAAUUGGGUUUCUGUAUAAUUGAUGGUCAAAGUUCUGAUUUUUAUGAGCUUGGAGCUGUGAUAUUCAAUUUUUCCAGAUGUGGUUUUUAUUGUUGGGAUUAGUUCAUGUUUUGUUCUUGAGGUAUUUGUUUAAAUUUGUUUGUUGCUUGUGUUAAUUUGAGUUUUUCUUUGUCUUUGGAAUGACCGAAUGAACAGUUGUUAUAUGUGGCUAUCGAGUUUGUAUAGUCCCGUUCACCUACCCACCGUGGGCACGCAUUAACGUGCCCACCGCUGAUGUGGCAAUGCCAC